rnacentral:rRNA from 1 species
GAUGAACGCUAGCGGCAGGCCUAAUACAUGCAAGUCGAGGGGCAGCAGGAAUAGCAAUAUUUGCUGGCGACCGGCGCACGGGUGCGUAACACGUAUACAAUCUGCCUUCUACAGGGGGAUAGCCUUUCGAAAGAGAGAUUAAUACCCCAUAACACAAGAAAUAGCAUUAUUUUUUGUUUAAAGAUCCGUCGGUAGAAGAUGAGUAUGCGGGUGAUUAGCUAGUUGGUGAGGUAGCGGCUCACCAAGGCAACGAUCACUAGGGGAUCUGAGAGGACUACCCCCCACACUGGUACUGAGACACGGACCAGACUCCUACGGGAGGCAGCAGUAAGGAAUAUUGGACAAUGGAGGCAACUCUGAUCCAGCCAUGCCGCGUGCAGGAUGAAGGCCCUAUGGGUCGUAAACUGCUUUUGUACGAGAGAAAACCUAUUUACGUGUAGAUAGUUGAUAGUAUCGUAAGAAUAAGGAUCGGCUAACUUCGUGCCAGCAGCCGCAGUAAUAC